rnacentral:lncRNA from 1 species
AUUUUCGGUAUGGUAAAGCCUUGGCCAUUUUUGGACCGUUUUUGGCGCAAACGUUGUGCACCCCGAACGAGCCCCACCCGACCCCUAGGCCCUGGGCUUUUUUUCUGUGUCAUACUGGGUGCAAUAUAGAUGGGUUCCACACCUAUCCGCGGCUAUCAUCGGCCUAAAUAGGUUGCACAAGAUCAAAGAAACAAAACUAGUCCAUGGGAAGAAAAGCAUUGGGACGAAAAUAAAAACUGAGUCCAGGCAUCUUCGAGCGGUUCUUGUGGGAAAAAACCUUGAUAUUACUUAGAGUGAGGCCUCCUAGUAGUUAUCUGGGAAUUUUCGGGACGUUUCUCACAUGGUUAAAAAUCGGCAGAUUUUCGGUAUGGUAAAGCCUUGGCCAUUUUUGGACCGUUUUUGGCGCAACCGUUGUGCACCCCGAACGAGCCCCACCCGACCCCUAGGCCCUGGGCUUUUUUUCUGUGUCAUACUGGGUGCAAUAUAGAUGGGUUUCCACACCUAUCCGCGGGCUAUCAUCGGCCUAAAUAGGUUGCACAAGAUCAAAGAAGCACAACUAGUCCAUGGGAAGAAAAGCAUUGGGACGAAAAUAAAAACUGAGUCCGGGCAUCUUCGAGCGGUUCUUGUGGCAAAAAAACCUUGAUAUUACUCAGAGUGAAGCCUCCUAGUAGUUAUCUGUGAAUUUUCGGGACGGUUCUCACAUGGUUAAAAAUCGGCCGAUUUUCGAGUAUAGUAAAGCCUUGGCCAUUUUUGGACCGUUUUUUGCGCAACCGUUGUGCACCCCGAACGAGCCCUAGGCCCUGGGCUUUUUUUAUGUGUCAUACUGGGUGCAAUAUAGAUGGGUUUCCACACCUAUCCGCGGGCUAUCAUCGGCCUAAAUAGGUUGCACAAGAUCGAAGAAGCACAACUAGUCCAUGGGAAGAAAAGCAUUGGGACGAAAAUAAAAACUGAGUCGGGCAUUUUCCGAGCGGUUCUUUGUGGAAAAACCUUGAUAUUACUCAGAGUGAGGCCUCCUAGUAGUUAUCUGUGAAUUUUCGGGACGGUUCUCACAUGGUUAAAAAUCGGCCGAUUUUCGGUAUGGUAAAGCCUUGGCCAUUUUUGGACCGUUUUUUGCGCAACCAUUGUGCACCCAGAACGAGCCCCACCCGACC